UGAAACGACACUGAUCGAUUACCAUAAAACGAUAGGUCGCGAUUUCCGCCGCGUUCGAUUUCGCGAGAUCAAGGUCGGGUCCAAGGAAGUUUUCGGGAAGAUUGGGAAAGAGAGAGUCGUGGCUGCACCCGAAAUUGCACGAAGAGCCAGCGGUCAAAUUAAUAUCUCGCAAUUGUCCAAUCGGUCGAAAAGAUUCGCGGGAAAUCCGAAUUGAAUUCGGCGAGGUCACGUUCCUUAAUCUGAGGAUCACGGUUUCGCUCACUUUCGUCCGAACCGCAGAUAACAGUGGAAGUGUCUUGCUUUGUUCGUGUUUCGUAAUUUAAUUUUUCAAGUAGUGCAAGUAAAUAUAGUGUGCGUCGUAGGCUAGAUUUGUGCGUCUAAAAUCAAUCUAGGCCAGCCGACGGCUAUAUCUCUUCCAAGUGCCAGGUCAGCGGAAACCCCGGGACGAGAGACCCCGGCAGCCUUCAACUUGUCCGGUAGGAAGCGAUCCGUCAGCAAAUCGCUUCAGCGGGGAAUUGUGGUCGUCAAUUGCCACCAUCGACCAAACCGCCAUUCGUCGACACGUGGAAGUCGCCAACCACCAUUCAUUGGCCCACGUGGCGAUCAUCAAUAGCCAACCGACAUCAGCGGUAACAGCAGCGCAGGAUAC